UACAGAGGUCCCAAGCGUUGUUCGGAUUCACUGGGCGUAAAGGGUGCGUAGGUGGCGGUGUAAGUUUGAUGUGAAAUCUCCGGGCUCAACCCGGAAAAUGCAUUGAAUACUAUACUGCUUGAGGUUUGGAGGGGGGACUGGAAUUCUUGGUGUAGCAGUGAAAUGCGUAGAUAUCAAGAGGAACACCAGUGGCGAAGGCGAGUCCCUGGACAACACCUGGCACUGAGGCACGAAAGCCGGGGGAGCAAACAGG
rnacentral:rRNA from 1 species